GCUGUCAGCUGGGGUAGUACUUUUUAUCUGAAGGCUCAUCGAGUAAGGAUCUGCUUCUAAGCUUACUUAGGAGUUUGUUGUAGGGAGAAGGCUUGAAGAGGAUUGGAAAAGAGGAACAGUGCAAUGCCUUCUCAGUUGAUGGAGUAAUGAAGUAUUUGUGUGGAUAUGAACCAAUAUAUGAAUAAAGAAAGAAAGAAG